ensembl:lncRNA
GGGGUGGAUAUGGGGCGCUGUGGGGGGAUAUAGGGCACUGUGGGGUGGAUAUGGGGCGCUGUGGGGUGGAUAUAGGGCAGUAUGGGGUGGAUAUAGGGCACUAUGCGGUGGAUACGGGGCGCUAUGGGGCGGAUAUAGGGCGUUAUGGGGAGCUAUGGGGUGGACAUGAGGCACUAUGGGGUGGAUAUGGGGUGCUAUGGGUCUCUAUGGGACACAAUGAUGCUCUAUGGGUCUCUAUGGGUCUCUAUGGGUCCCUAUGUGUCUCUAUGGGUCCCUAUGAUGCUCUAUGUGUCUCUAUGGGUCCCUAUGGGUCUCUAUGGGUCCCUAUGGGUCUCUAUGGGUCUCUAUGUGUCUCUAUGGGUCCCUAUGUGUCUCUAUGUGUCCCUAUGGGCCUCCAUGUGUCUCUAUGGGUCCCUAUGUGUCUCUAUGGGUCCCUAUGGGUCCCUAUGUGUCUCUAUGGGUCCCUAUGUAUCUCCAUGGGUUCCUAUGGGGCUUUAUGUGUCUCUAUGGGUCCCUAUGAUGCUUUAUGGCUCUCUAUGGGUCUCUAUGGGUCUCUAUGGGUCUCUAUGGAUCUCUAUGUGUCCCUAUGGGUCU